GGACAAGUAAGUCCAAGGUCCCAAGGAUCAAGUGUAACAGGUAGGACAGUUUCUCAAUCUGACAACAGAAAGGCUGGAGAGGAAAUUAUAAAGAAGAGAAAAGUGUCAACAGCUCAAGAAGAGUUCGAAAAUUCGUCAUCUGGAGAUGACUUUUUCACAGUGUCACCUUCUCUUGUAACUCUGGGUCCUGGAGUAAGGAUCACCAAUGUUGCUGCUGGUGGUCGUCACACUUUAGCAUUGUCAGAUAUGGGACAGGUUUGGGGUUGGGGCUAUGGAGGCGAAGGGCAGCUAGGUUUGGGAUCCCGGAUAAAAAUGGUGUCUUCUCCUCAUCUCAUACCAUGCCUUGAUACAUCUGUUUCUGAGAAAGACAGGUCCUUGAUAGUCCCCCAAGGAAGCUUGAAUUCGUCGGCACAAGCUUCUAAAUUCCCUGGAAAUUAUGUGAAAGAAAUUGCUUGUGGAGGUCGCCAUAGUGCUGUAGUAACAGAUGCAGGAGCACUAUUUACAUUUGGAUGGGGACU
rnacentral:misc_RNA from 1 species